CAUAUCGGGGGGUAUUAAGCAAAUUACUUCUUUGAAUAAAUUAUCCACACUUCUGGAUAUGUAGACAUAGUUCUGGAGGGUUAUAGCUUAGAAAAGGCUAGAAGCUCAUGUUGGGGAUUGACUUUCUCUUUUAGUUUUCUAUUUUUUAAGGGAGAGGGUCUCACUCUGUCACUCAGGCCAGAGUGCAGUGGCGUGAUCCUGGCUCACUGCAGACUUGAAAUCCUGGGCUCAAGCCAUCUUCCCGCCUCAGCCUUCCAAGUGGCUGGGACUACAGGUUUGCACCACCAUAUCUGGCUAAUUUGUAUUUUUUUUGUAGGAACCAGGUCUUGCUUUGUUGCCCAGCUGGUCUCAAACUUCUGGUCUCGAGCAAUCCUCCCACCGCAGUCUCCCCAAGUGUUGGGAUUACAGGCAUGAGCCACUGUGCUCUACCAGAGUUGAUGUUCAAAUUUUUAUAGAGAACGAAAGAAUUUCACUGGUAACUGUCAGAGCAGUCCUUAAGGAUAUGUCAGAAAGAAAAAAAAUUAUGAUUUGAGAUAGAAAAAAUGCCAAAUGUAUAUAACAGAAAUGCACAGUAACAGGGAAGCGACGGGAAGGACAGCAGACCCAAGACACUCCAUUUCUGGAUGGCGUGGAUGCACCAUAUCGUUUAGGUGAAGAAAGGCAACAUAAAACAUUAACAUCAAUUUUUUUUUUUAAAGGUUGUAGUCUAUGUAAGUUUAUAGAAAGUUCCCCAUAUUUUUAGUGAUGAUACCAUUUUGAGAGGUGGCUUAUGGAGUAUGAGACAAAGCAUAAUUCAAAGGUGUCACUGUGAUGUCACAGGGAAUCAAAACCACAGGGGGCUCAAUGGGACUAGGCCUGGACAUGCCAAGUUAUCAGGUCACAAAAUCCAUUAUGUUUACAAACUUAAGACUUCUGCUCAAUUUUUCUCUAUAUCCCCAAAAUUUUACUAAUUUAGCACUUGGCAUUAAACAUUAUUGGCCAAUAAUAAUAAAUAUUGUAUCAGUAGACUAUAUUACAUUUUGCAAAACAUUUUCAGGUCCAUCAAUUUUGCUCUCCACAUAGUCAAUCAUUUAUUCAUUCAACAAAUACAGAUUGAAUGAUAACCACAUACAAACCAGCAUUGGGGGUGCUUGAGAAACAUUGAAUGUAUCAUUGUCAACAGACAAAGAUACCUCCCCUUGUGGUGUUUACAUUUAGCACAAAAAGGCAAAACAUACAUAAAUUAAAUAAGCCUAACAAUAUAGUACGACGACACGUACUGUAUGGGGAACAAAGAGCCUCCACUGAGCCUGGCAAGGGCGACUGGAAAGGUGAGCUCUAGAUGGGCUCUGGGGGGAGUAGGGCUGUGUGGUAUCACUGAGAAGCUGGAUCUCAGAAGAGUUAAGGAAGAAAGGGAAUAAUGAGUCAAGGGGAUAUCAGGGAAAAGGGAAUGUCAAGCAGAAGCCACAGGCGGGGAAAUGGCCCUGUGAUGGGAAGUGCCUGCUUUGGUGGAAACCCAGCCAUGAGGCCAGGGCAGCUGGAGCAGAAUGCAAAGGGAAGUGGGGGUGGGAGAGAUAAUCAGAGGAGGGAUGGGGGUUCAGAUCCUCUAGGGCCUGGGGAAAUCAAGAAAGUACUCAAUCGGAUGCCUGGCUUAAGCAAUCAAAAGAAUGGAGUUGCCAUCCAGUGACAGGGAGAAGCCUGUGGUUUUUGUUGUUGCAGUUAGGGAGAGACUUGGGGAGAAAUUUGUGGGUAAGUUUUAGGCAAAUUGAGUUCAAAAUGUCUAUUUUGAUGUCAAGUGGACAGCUGAAUAUAAAAGACUACCAUUCAGAGGAAAGGAGAGGGAAAGCCAGGAAACGGGUAUGGAUGUCGAGGAUUUUGCUGGUAACGAAACAAAGUUCCAGAGGAAAUAGUGGCAAUCUUUCAGGAGUUGGAAAGGGAAAGAGAAGAGUCAUUACAGGAGACACACAAAACUAUGAACCUAAGAAUGCAAGAGAUGAAGACUCACAUUGGUUUACUGACUGAUAUAAACCACAAUAAUAUGCACAGUGAGACAGGAUUCAGCAGAGACAGUGAGACCAGAGUACUGGGCUACACAGUGGGAAAUGGAUACUCCUGGGACUGGGACACUCAUUCCAUCCUAUGGAGAGAGUAGAAGACAUGUGGAGGUGUUCUCCCUCCCACCCAGGGCUUCCCCGUCUCACUGAAUGGGUGGUGCCCCAUGGAAGGGGUAUCUCAAGCCACCCACCUGAUCCCUGUGGGAAGGGAUGCUGUUGCUGAGCUGAAGUCCACCUUCCCUACACAGACCUUGCAUGAACGAGGGCUAGGGCACACAUGGCCUGUGGAACACCAAGAAGAGGGACACGAGGAUGCGUUAUUUCCUCUGUUUGCAAAUCUAUCACAGAGAGUAGAAGUGUUCGCUCAUGAUCAAACAAUUAAAAAAUCUAGGAAGAAGGCUACGUUAGUAAUAUGAUUGGAAGGUAAGUUAAAGAUGUCAGUCGAAAAAAUCUCCCUGGAAGAGAAAAACAUCUUGAACUUCAAAUUGAGGAGGAAAAUUAAACCUUCUGCAGAUUAUUAUCAGAUAAUGUUAAAUAAUUUGCCAUUAAUUAAUAUUUGGUUAGCAUUGAAGCAUUUACCAUUUAAACAUUUUAGCAUUUGUGUAAUAUUUAUUUAUUUAUUUAUUUAUUUAUUUAUUUAUUUAUUUAUUUUUGAGAUGGAGUCUUGCUCUGUUGCCCCGGCUG
rnacentral:lncRNA from 10 species